GCCAGCAUGGCAUAGUGGUUUCAGUGUUGGAUUAUAACUCUGGAGAUCAAGGUUCAACUCCUGGCUUGGCC
rnacentral:tRNA from 1 species